UACAGAGGUCUCAAGCGUUGUUCGGAUUCACUGGGCGUAAAGGGCGCGUAGGCGGGAUGGCAAGUCGGUCGUGAAAUCCUUCGGCUCAACCGAAGAACGUCGGCCGAUACUGCCGUUCUUGAGGGAUGCAGAGGAGAUUGGAAUUCCCGGUGUAGCGGUGAAAUGUGUAGAGAUCGGGAGGAACACCGGUGGCGAAGGCGGGUCUCUGGGACGGUACUGACGCUGAGACGCGAAAGCGUGGGGAGCGAACAGG
rnacentral:rRNA from 1 species